GAGCUGCCCUCCAUGAAGCUGCCAGAUCAGACAUGCUGAAUCUUUCCCGUUGAUGCUGAUCAUCUGGAGAUGAGAAAUUUGUGGUGAUUAAGAAGAGACUAGCAUCGUUGAGGUGAAGUCUCUGGAAAGUGCUUCCUGAGAGUCAUCCCACAGAGGCUGUGUUCCAGGCAUGGUACCUUGUGCUGGCAGCUGAACUUGGUAGUGUAAAAGUCACCCAGGUUGUGCUGGCUUUUGAAGAUGCUGUAAAAGAAAUGGCAGACACCACACCGUGAUUAUUUGUGAGCCUAUAAUCAUCACUUGCCCAAGCACCCUAAACUAGAAGAGACUACAGGUGACAUUGCCCAUAUAAGCGACAUAUACUCACCAAGGGCUGAACCUGUCCCUCAGGCAGCCUGAGGGCAAACAAACACCGUGGGCCACGCAUCAGCUACAAGAUGGAGGACCUCCGCACUCCCUGUGAAACUUAUAAAGGGAGACCAAGUGCCUUGUGGGUUGGAACUCUCUUUGUAUGACUGUCUGUGUAUGCCAAUACUAGCUCUUCCAGUAAAUCUCUCUU